AGAAACAUGCUAAAAUCGUAUAGAGCAUUUAUCAUGUUUAGAGUUUUAUUAGUAUAAUUUAAGAAUAUUAUACUUUACUCGUGUAGAUAGUAAUGUGGAAAAUUCAUCUGUAGCCACUUUUACCAAAUCCGAGAACCUCCGUUCUUGUUGACAUUGCGCUUUUCGUUCUCUUGCAAUUCUAGCGACAACCAUGACAGGAGUCCUUCAUGUCGGAAAUGGAGUACAUGGGCUUGGCAUCACAGACUCCGGAGAUGAGAAAUUUGAGGAAGGAAAGGUGUAAUUGUUACACAUUGUAACAAAACUUAUGAAGAAGAAAGGAACAUCCAUGGUUUUGGUUGAUGGUGCAGGGGCUGGUGAUAUAGUAUCUAUCACUGGGUUGGCAACUCCAUCAAUUGCCCCCACAGUGGCAAGUGUGGAGGUUUGUUUUAAGCAUGACCUAGAGCAAUUACUACAGCUGUGUCCCUACUGUCUGCAACAGUCUGCAACAAUCAGUUCUAUUUUGUACAUUGAUACAACUUCUCUUACCCUUGCUCUGCAAGGUAUGUACCAUGGGAUUUCUUUACGCCAGACAUGCUUCUUCUUGCAUUUUGGACAUGCCAUGUAAUACCAUUUUGAACCCUUUACAAUAUCAACAACAAUUGCUUUGAAUGUGAACGUUACUACCUGUUCCAUUUUUUUCCCAGUGUUUUAUUAAUUUGUAUAUCCUGUAAAUAUGUAUGCUUGAAUAUCUCGACUGUGAAGGAAUGUGUGUGCUUCUGCCAAGGAUACUCUAUUGCUGAAGAGCAAUUUUUUCAUGUUUUCUUGCGCUUUUGGCUCUUCUGCUACUGUAUCGGACUCUUCUCGGCAUGUGAUGUCAAUCUUCAUGAAUCUCCUGCGCACUAUGUUGAUGAAACACCCAAUAAUGUCUACAUAACCAUGGUGUUAUAAUGCUAGUUCAAAAGUGGUUGUUAAAUUGUUGAAUGAUUUUGAGGUGCGUAACAGUUAUAAAUACCUGUGCAGUGUGUUUUAUCCCCGCAUCUCUCAUGUAGUUCUUCAAACUCCGUUAGGUUGAAGUUCUACUUUGGGAUAAUUGUAGGACCUUCGACUUCUUUUUCCACUUGUACUUGUGUGAAUGCAUUGAAAGAAAGCUUUCGCUCCUUAGCUAAGGGUCUCUACCGGAGAUUUUAUUUUACGAUCUGGAAGUGUUUUAAUGACACUAUAUUCUGUUCUUUGAGCUUAUCCAUAUGCAUUCUAUAGUGAUUCGGUGUGAUCACAUAGUGGAUUUGGUCGCCCUGUUAUUAUUCAUGUACUUAUUAUUAUGCAUAUUUUGUUUCAAGGCAGGUUAUCAUAAUAUUAAAUGCGGUGUUAAUGUUACUGUUUAGUCGAUGAGGAUCAUGUGAUAGCGUGUAGAGGCUCCCGUCCAUGGAUCCUUGAUUUCCCAGAAGCUGUUGCAUACAAAUAGAAUAGAGAUUCCUGAGAUGUAUCCCUGUGAAUAAGAUUUUCUAAAGGUGUAUCACAUCCAUCUCCAUUGUAUCCUUAUUCAAAUAUGUUGAACAAUAAUUAUUAUUUAUUUAUUUAUUCCCCCUCAUGUAAACAUUAUUUUUUUGAAUGUUAACAACUUAC